rnacentral:rRNA from 1 species
UACAGAGGUGGCAAGCGUUGUUCGGAAUUACUGGGCGUAAAGGGCGCGUAGGCGGUUCGGUAAGUCCUGUGUGAAAUCCCUCGGCUCAACUGAGGAACUGCACGGGAGACUGCCGGGCUUGAGUUCGGGAGAGGGAAGCGGAAUUCCGGGUGUAGCGGUGAAAUGCGUAGAUAUCCGGAGGAACACCGGUGGCGAAGGCGGCUCCUGGACCGACACUGACGCUGAGGCGCGAAAGCUAGGGGAGCAAACGGGG